UAAACGGGAUAUUGAAAGCGCGGAUAUUGGCGGCGUGAAAGACUGAAAGCGCCACGAUUAUCAGAUGUGCGAAUGAAUCGAUAUGGAACCAGGCAAUUAGAGCGGCGAUCAUGGUAUCCAUCGCAAUCUAAAGUCUCAACUGAAGAACAUAGCUUGACAGGUGAAGCUGUCACUUAUACAUCAGGCCACCAGUGAUUUCUGCUCGUUUCAUCCAGCGAUCGACGAAUUCUGCUCGUUUCAUACAGGUGAACGACGAAUUCUGCUCGCUUCAUUCAGGCCAGUGGCAGAGGCGAUAUUUUCUGCUGGUGCAAGUUUAUUUGAUUUAUUGAAUCUGCAUCUGGGUAGCAAUGGAAACAAAGAAGAAAAAAGGUUUGGUUAUCGAAGAUUACCCGAUCGAAGGGCUGUCAAUAGCAGGGCAUGAAACUUGUAUAAUUCUUCCCACUCUCAACUUAGCUUUCGACAUCGGAAAGUGCCCCCAACGAGCCAUUUCUCAGCAAUUUCUUUUCAUUUCUCACGGUCACAUGGAUCACAUUGGAGGAUUGCCUAUGUAUGUUGCAACUCGUGGUUUAUACAGAAUGUCUCCACCAACAAUCAUUGUACCAAAAGUCAUUAAAGAAAAUGUUGAAAAAAUCUUUGAAGCACACCGUGCAAUGGACCAAUCAGAACUGAAGCAUACUUUGAUUGGAUUGGAUAUUGGGGAAGAAUUCUACUUGAGAAAAGAUAUGAAAGUAAAAGCAUUUAAGACGUAUCACGUCAUACCAAGGUUAUGUAAUUUAUUCAGUGAAACAAAAGCUUAAACCCGAGUAUGUCGGUCUUCCGGGGGAUGAAAUCAAGAAGUUGAAGUUCUCAGGUGUGGAGAUAACAUACACGACAACGUCACCUGAAGUCGCUUUUACAGGAGAUACUACAUCCGACUUCAUCGUUGAUGACGAUAAUGCUGAUGUGUUGAAGGCAAAGGUUCUCAUUAUGGAGAGCACGUAUGUGGAGAAUUCAAUGAUGGUGGAGAAUGCGAGAGACUAUGGCCACACACAUUUAUCUGAGAUAGUUAAUCAUGCAAGCAGAUUUGAGAAUAAAGCAAUUGUAUUGAUCCACUUUUCAGCUCGGUAUCAGUUGGAUGUUAUUAAAGAAGCUGUUUCUGCACUGGGCCCACCUUUGUCGGGCCGUGUUUUUGCACUUACAGAGGGUUUCUAGGAUGGUUGAAGCUGUAUUCAUCUGUUAUAAGGAUGAAAAUGAGGUGGAACUGGAAGGCGCGCUCCAUCUUUCAUGCAGCAAACAUUACUUUGCGUGAACAACUUAAAACUGUAGAAACUUGCAAGAUAUUUUGAGUUGAAUGCAUAUCUAUUUUCUUUAUAUGGUUACUCAACCUUGUAAUC